rnacentral:rRNA from 1 species
GAUUGAACGCUGGCGGCAUGCUUUACACAUGCAAGUCGAACGGUAACAGGCCUUCGGGUGCUGACGAGUGGCGAACGGGUGAGUAAUGCAUCGGAACGUGCCCAGAGGUGGGGGAUAACGCAGCGAAAGCUGUGCUAAUACCGCAUGUGAUCUGAGGAUGAAAGCGGGGGACCAGGCAGCAAUGUUUGGCCUCGGGCCUUUGGAGCGGCCGAUGUCAGAUUAGGUAGUUGGUGGGGUAAAGGCCUACCAAGCCGACGAUCUGUAGCUGGUCUGAGAGGACGACCAGCCACACUGGGACUGAGACACGGCCCAGACUCCUACGGGAGGCAGCAGUGGGGAAUUUUGGACAAUGGGCGCAAGCCUGAUCCAGCAAUGCCGCGUGCGGGAAGAAGGCCUUCGGGUUGUAAACCGCUUUUGUACGGAACGAAAAGGCUCUGGCUAAUACCUGGGGCUGAUGACGGUACCGUAAGAAUAAGCACCGGCUAACUACGUG